CACGUUACUUAAAGCCCAUGGUGCAGGUUAACCGGAAGUUUUGAUUAAUGGGUACAUAAAGCACUCAAAAUAUGUAUAUAAAGUUAGAAAUGUCUCCAAAAUGGUGUUAAAGUCCAGUUUUUGUAGUUUUUGGUUAGUAACGGUUAUUUUUUACGCAAUUUGGCGAUGACGUCACGUAAGGUAGACGCAUUAGAACUAGCAUUAUGGUGGACGGGGAUGAGGAAGAGGUAGCAAGACCCACUGUCAACAUUUAUGAUGGCCCACAGCCAUAUAAUUUCGAACCGGUUAGGCGUAUGAGGGGAAAUGAGGAAAUCCCGAGAGCCGAUGGCCGUCAAAGACAAAUAAAUGCAUGGUCAGAGGAGAAUGAGUAGAGAGUUGGUGAAGUGUCCUGGUGUCUGUGUGGGCGGUGUCGUCCCAUGGAAACUGUGGUGGAGAGCUUGUGUUGUAGGGAGGUGAGCGCGUUUUGGUCGCUGGUCGAGGAGCUCACCCCGCGGCCAGCAGAUGUAACGUGCCUAACGCAGCAUCCUGGAUUUGAGGCAUGCUGCCUGAAUCCGUUUGUGCUAAAAAUAGCAUACACACACUUCAGGCAGGAUCAUGGUCCCCUUCAAGCCAGCACGCACGAGUAUGUUCAUGGUUUAUGUUUACUUUACAAAUCUUUUUACACUGAGUCAUUUGAACCAACAGUUAUAGGUGACAGGAGAUGUGUUGCAUACACAAUAAACAUGCAUAAGAAACAGGCUUAAAAUGACGUUUCCAACCUACUUACAGUUUUAAACUUAAGAAUCUUUCCUACUUAUCCCUAGGCAAUACCGGUACACUGCGUACAGGCAAGCUAUACGCUGGGCUUAUGGCGUUUUAGGGAGGAGUAUAAGGAAGCCUCUACCCUCUUGUGUGGUUUCAACCAUCAGACAGCAAUUCCAGAAUGGUGACCAGACCUAUCAGGGCUUUCAAUGGCCUUGUUUGGAUUAAAAUGAAUAAAAA